CCCACAUCAGAAAGUGCCUGAAAUCUCAGCACCUCCAGUACUCACAGACUAUCUCUGCUGUUUAAAGGACCACUCUAGGCACCCAGACCACUUCCGCUUAAUGAAGUGGUCUAGGUGCCAGGUCCCUCUAGGAUUAACCCUUUUUUUAAUAAACAUAGUUUCAGAGGGUUAAUAGGGUUAAUCCAGCCUCCAACUCCUCUAGUGGCUGUCUCAUUGACAGCCGCUAGAGGCGUUUGCGUGCUUCUCACUGUGAAAAUCACAGUGAGAAGACGCAAGCAUCCAUAGAAAAGCAUUGUAAAUGCUUUCCUAUG